GGAGACCGUACUCUUCCCCGACGCUAUUCCACCGGUCAAUCCCACCAACCUCAUUUUCACUGUAGUUGAGAUGCUCCUUUUGCCCUUAUUCCCAAACAAAGCAAGGUAUCGAAAGCGAGUACAGUAAAUAGAAGCUGGACGGAUUUCACAAUACAUAAUCGAAAUUUAGCUCUCUAGUCUCCCACACAUAUUUACAAAUUACGUGCUUCAGGGUCUGUUUGGAUGGAGUGAGGAAAGGGUGUUUGGAUGGAGCGAGG
rnacentral:misc_RNA from 1 species